GAUAUUACAUGACGUGAUACUUUUCUUCUUGGGUUUUUAUACGAUCCAUUCCAACGUGAGUCGGGCGGAAGAAGGGGCGUGAUUGGGUUGAUGACGUCAGAGUGAGGGCGGAAGUGACAGUCACCGAGUCAGAUGAGUAGUGAAAGCGGUUGUGGAGAAUAGAGAACGACGUGCUGUUCUUAUUAGAUUUGUCGUUCGGUAUGUAUGUCCGUUCAGGUUGGUUUGUGAUUUAAAUAUGUGUUUAGUCUUAUUGUUAUUGUGAUAUGAACACUGUAGAACCGAAACGUUGGCAAAGUGUGUUUUCCCUGUGUACUUUGAUCUGCUUCAUAUUUGCUGUGUUCCUCUUAUUUGUGUGGGUAACGUAACAUUUUGGGAUUUUUUUUUUGUUAUGUGAAAUAUGUAUAUAUACAGGUUUAGUCACUAAAGUGAGAAUUAAAUGUGAAUUUCAAAUUUAAGGUCAAAAUAAAGGGAUUGUAAACAUUCUCUAAGUCAGCUAUGCUAUGGCCUGCAAAUUCUUUCCACUUUCGCUGUUUUGUCCCAAAAUAUGAAAUUCGGUUUACAUGUACUCUGAAUUACCUUUCCAGUAUGUCCGUAAUGAGCACAAAUUGAUGUGCUAUUUCAUUUUUUCAAUUACGUUUAUUUCACUUUGCCAAUAAAUUUAGUGGCAUACUGGCAAUGACAACACUUGUUACAAUGUACAAAUAUUUGUAUUGUGUUACAGCUUAGAACAGUAGGGUAGGACAUAGCUUUCAUCAUGUCAAGAAGCUUCAAUCCCUUUGAUGAAGAUGAGGAUACUGACUUCAAGCCAGUGAAGUGGAACAAUGCAGUGGACACAGAAGAAAGUGAAACAGAUGGUGUGUAUGACAAACAAAGAGCUUUACAACAAGAAGUGAUGAGAAGAACACAGGCUACCGUAGAUAGUAGUAAUAGAUCGGUGUCCCUCCUCCAUGAAUCUGAGCAAAUUGGAUUGGAAACUGCAGAGGUAAAAUGAAAAUAUGUAAAUGUUCUCAUUGCAAAAAGCUGGUGCAUUUAAUUGG